AGAGUUUGAUCCUGGCUCAGGACGAACGCUGGCGGCGCGCUUAAUACAUGCAAGUCGAGCGAGAACCAGGGCUUCGGCCCUGGGGACAGCGGCGAACGGGUGAGUAACACGUGGGUAAUCAACCCCCGACACCGGGAUAGCCCAGGGAAACUUGGAUUAAUACCGGAUGCUCCGUCUGGCCUUCGGGCCGGCCGGAAAAGGGUAGCUUCGGCCUCCGGUCGGGGACGAGCCCGCGGCGGAUUAGCUUGUUGGUGAGGUAAAGGCUCACCAAGGCGACGAUCCGUAGCUGGUCUGAGAGGACGAUCAGCCACACUGGGACUGAGACACGGCCCAGACUCCUACGGGAGGCAGCAGUAGGGAAUCUUGCGCAAUGGGCGAAAGCCUGACGCAGCGACGCCGCGUGAGGGAAGAAGGCCUUAGGGUUGUAAACCUCUUUCAGGAGGGACGAAGCCACUCGGGUUAAUAGCCUAGAGGGUGACGGUACCUCCAGAAGAAGCCCCGGCUAACUACGUGCCAGCAGCCGCGGUAAUACGUAGGGGGCAAGCGUUGUCCGGAUUUAUUGGGCGUAAAGAGCGUGUAGGCGGCCAAGCAGGUCCGCUGUGAAAACUCGAGGCUCAACCUCGAGAGGUCGGUGGAAACCGUUUGGCUAGAGUCCGGAAGAGGAGAGUGGAAUUCCCGGUGUAGCGGUGAAAUGCGCAGAUAUCGGGAAGAACACCCGUGGCGAAGGCGGCUCUCUGGGACGGUACUGACGCUGAGACGCGAAAGCGUGGGGAGCGAACAGGAUUAGAUACCCCCGUAGUCC
rnacentral:rRNA from 1 species